CGUGUAGGCGGCUUAACAGGUCAGAUGUGAAAUCCCCAGGCUCAACCUGGGAAUUGCGUUUGAAACCUUUAGGCUUGAGGAUGGGAGAGGAAAGCGGAAUUCCUGGUGUAGCGGUGAAAUGCGUAGAUAUCAGGAGGAACACCAGUGGCGAAGGCGGCUUUCUGGACCAUACCUGACGCUAAUGCGCGAAAGCGUGGGGAGCGAACAGGAUUAGAUACCCUGGUAGUC
rnacentral:rRNA from 1 species